GAAUACGUUCCCGGGCCUUGUACACACCGCCCGUCACACCAUGGGAGUGGGUUGCAAAAGAAGUAGGUAGCUUAACCUCCGGGAGGGCGCUUACCACUUUGUGAUUCAUGACUGGGGUGAAGUCGUAACAAGGUAACCGUAGGGGAACCUGCGGUUGGAUCACCUCCUUA
rnacentral:rRNA from 1 species